CUGCUCAGAUUGAACGCUGGCGUCAGGCAUAACACAUGCAAGUCGAACGGUAACAGGAAGCAGCUUGCUGCUUCGCUGACGAGUGGCGGACGGGUGAGUAAUGUCUGGGGAUCUGCCUGAUGGAGGGGGAUAACUACUGGAAACGGUAGCUAAUUCCGCAUAACGUCGCAAGCCCAAAGAGGGGGACCUUCGGGCCUCUUGCCAUCAGAUGAACCCAGAUGGGAUUAGUUAGUAGGUGGGGUAACGGCUCACCUAGGCGACGAUCCCUAGCUGGUCUGAGAGGAUGUCCAGCCCCACUGGAACUGAGACACGGUCCAGAUUCCUACGGGAGGCAGCAGUGGGGAAUAUUGCACAAUGGGCGCAAUCCUGAUGCAGCCAUGCCGCGUGUAUGAAGAAGGCCUUCGGGUUGUAAAGUACUUUCAGCGGGGAGGAAGGCGAUACGGUUAAUAACCGUGUCGAUUGACGUUACCCGCAGAAGAAGCACCGGUUAACUCCGUGCCAGCAGCCGCGGUAAUACGGAGGGUGCAAGCGUUAAUCGGAAUUACUGGGCGUAAAGCGCACGCAGGCGGUUUGUCAAGUCGGAUGUGAAAUCCCCGGGCUCAACCUGGGAACUGCAUCCGAAACUGGCAGGCUUGAGUCUUGUAGAGGGGGGUAGAAUUCCAGGUGUAGCGGUGAAAUGCGUAGAGAUCUGGAGGAAUACCGGUGGCGAAGGCGGCCCCCUGGACAAAGACUGACGCUCAGGUGCGAAAGCGUGGGGAGCAACCAGGAUUAGAUACCCUGGUAGUCCACGCCGUAAACGAUGUCGACUUGGAGGUUGUGCCCUUGAGGCGUGGCUUCCGGAGCUAACGC
rnacentral:rRNA from 1 species